GAUGAACGCUGGCGGCGUGCCUAAUACAUGCAAGUCGAGCGAACGGACGAGAAGCUUGCUUCUCUGAUGUUAGCGGCGGACGGGUGAGUAACACGUGGAUAACCUACCUAUAAGACUGGGAUAACUUCGGGAAACCGGCGCUAAUACCGGAUGAUAUUUUGAACCGCAUGGUUCAACAGUGAAAGACGGUCUUGCUGUCACUUAUAGAUGGAUCCGCGCUGCAUUAGCUAGUUGGUAAGGUAACGGCUUACCAAGGCAACGAUGCAUAGCCGACCUGAGAGGGUGAUCGGCCACACGGGAACUGAGACACGGUCCAGACUCCUACGGGAGGCAGCAGUAGGGAAUCUUCCGCAAUGGGCGAAAGCCUGACGGAGCAACGCCGCGUGAGCGAUGAAGGUCUUCGGAUCGUAAAACUCUGUUAUUAGGGAAGAACAUAUGUGUAAGUAACUGUGCACAUCUUGACGGUACCUAAUCAGAAAGCCACGGCUAACUACGUG
rnacentral:rRNA from 1 species